rnacentral:rRNA from 1 species
AGAUUUCUAGAUGAUCAUGGAGUGCUCCAAGAGAGAUUCCUUGCCAUUAAGCACAUCACAGAUUGCACAUCUGCUGGAAUUAAAGAAGCUUUAGUUGAUGUGUUGGAAUAUCAUGGUUUGUCAAUUUCCAAGCUACGUGGUCAGGGUUAUGAUGGGGCUUCAAAUAUGAGAGGGGAGUUCAAUGGUUUGCAAAAAUUGGUUAGAGAUGAAGCACCGUAUGCAUUCUAUGUUCAUUGCUUUGCUCACCAGUUACAAUUGGUGGUUGUCACCGUUGCUCAAUGUAGUCCUGCUAUUGCUGAUUUCUUCAAUUAUAUUCCCUUGAUAGUGACUCAAGUGUGUUCAUCUUGUAAAAGGAAAGAUGCAUUACUUGCCAAACAUCAAGAUGAAUUGUUAGAUUUGAUGGAGAAUGGAAAGAUUUCAGCCGGUACCGGGUUGCAUCAAGAAUCUAACAUAACAAGACCAGGAGAUACUCGUUGGGGCUCACACCUCAAAACCUUGCUUCGUAUAUUCACAAUAUGGAAUGCUGUGGUGGAUGUGCUAGGAAUUGUUGUGGCUGAUGCUCGGGAACACACAUGCCAAGCCAAGAACUUUUGUGAAACACAUGAUAUUGAUGUGCCAAACAUGGAUGAUCUUGUUGGAACAAUGGGCCAAUCUGUUCGCACUAAGAAUAAGGUGACUCGGCUUCACUAUUACAAGGUUAGCAUAUUCAAUGUUGCCAUUGAUGCAACUAUCACCGAGAUGAAUCACCGAUUCAAUGAAGUUUCCACCGAGUUAUUGGCUUGCAUGUCUUGUCUUAAUCCAGCAAACAACUUUGCAAAGUUUGACGUUGACAAACUUAUUCGUCUUGCUGAAAUUUAUGAUGAGGACUUCACCGAAGCUGACCGGUUGUUGCUAAGAGUACACCUCCCCAGAUUCCUUAUGAACAUUAGGAGAAGUGAUGAAUUUAAUGGAUGCCGGGAUAUGUCCACACUUGCUCAUUUGAUGGUUGAAACAACAAAACACACAACUUUCCAUUUGGUAUAUCGCCUCAUUGAGUUGACACUCAUUCUUCCUGUAGCAACUUCAUCAGUUGAGCGAAUAUUUUCAGCAAUGAAGAUCAUCAAGACAGAUUUGCUCAACAAACUAUCAGAUGAUUGGCUAAAUGAUUUAAUGGUGUGCUAUUGUGAGAAAGAGAUAUUCAGAAGCAUUCACGAUGACAAAAUCAUGAUACAAUUUCAGAAAAUGAGUGAUCGGAAAGGACAUUUGCCU